rnacentral:rRNA from 1 species
GACGAACGCUGGCGGCGUGCUUAACACAUGCAAGUCGAACGGAAAGGCCCUGCUUUUGUGGGGUGCUCGAGUGGCGAACGGGUGAGUAACACGUGAGUAACCUGCCCUUGACUUUGGGAUAACUUCAGGAAACUGGGGCUAAUACCGGAUAGGAGCUCCUGCUGCAUGGUGGGGGUUGGAAAGUUUCGGCGGUUGGGGAUGGACUCGCGGCUUAUCAGCUUGUUGGUGGGGUAGUGGCUUACCAAGGCUUUGACGGGUAGCCGGCCUGAGAGGGUGACCGGCCACAUUGGGACUGAGAUACGGCCCAGACUCCUACGGGAGGCAGCAGUGGGGAAUAUUGCACAAUGGGCGGAAGCCUGAUGCAGCAACGCCGCGUGCGGGAUGACGGACUUCGGGUUGUAAACCGCUUUCGCCUGUGACGAAGCGUGAGUGAAGGUAAUGGGUAAAGAAGCACCGGAGAACUACGUG